rnacentral:rRNA from 1 species
AGAACGAACGCUGGCGGCAGGCCUAACACAUGCAAGUCGAACGCCCCGCAAGGGGAGUGGCAGACGGGUGAGUAACGCGUGGGAACGUGCCCUAAGGUACGGAACAACUCCGGGAAACUGGAGCUAAUACCGUAUGUGCUCGAAAGGGGAAAGAUUUAUCGCCUUGGGAUCGGCCCGCGUCUGAUUAGCUAGUUGGUAGGGUAAUGGCCUACCAAGGCUACGAUCAGUAGCUGGUCUGAGAGGAUGACCAGCCACACUGGGACUGAGACACGGCCCAGACUCCUACGGGAGGCAGCAGUGGGGAAUAUUGGACAAUGGGGGCAACCCUGAUCCAGCAAUGCCGCGUGAGUGAUGAAGGCCUUAGGGUUGUAAAGCUCUUUCGCCCGCGACGAUGAUGACGGUAGCGGGAGAAGAAGCCCCGGCUAACUUCGUGCCAGCAGCCGC